ACGACUGCUAAGACUGGAUAGGAGAUAAGAAGGCAUCUUCUUAUUUUUAAAAGACCUAGCAAUAGGUAUGCUUAGAGAGGAGCUUGCGUCACAUUAGUUAGUUGGUGGGGUAAAAGCCUACCAAGACGAUGAUGUGUAGCCGGGCUGAGAGGUCAAACGGCCACAUUGGGACUGAGACACGGCCCAAACUCCUACGGGAGGCAGCAGUAAGGAAUUUUCGGCAAUGGUGGAAACUCUGACCGAGCAACGCCGCGUGAACGAUGAAGUAUUUCGGUACGUAAAGUUCUUUUAUUAGGGAAGAAAAGAUGGUGGAAAAACCAUUAUGACGGUACCUAAUGAAUAAGCCCCGGCUAACUAUGUGCCAGCAGCCGCGGUAAUACAUAGGGGGCAAGCGUUAUCCGGAAUUAUUGGGCGUAAAGGGUGCGUAGGCGGUUAAAUAAGUUUAUGGUCUAAGUGCAAUGCUUAACGUUGUGAUGCUAUAAAAACUGUUUAGCUAGAGUUGGAUAGAGGCAAGUGGAAUUCCAUGUGUAGUGGUAAAAUGCGUAAAUAUAUGGGAGGAACACCAGAAGCGAAGGCGGCUGGCUGGGUCUUAACUGACGCUGAGGCACGAAAGCGUGGGGAGCAAACAGGAUUAGAUACCCUGGUAGUCCACGCCCUAAACGAUGAGUACUAAACGUUGGGUAAAACCAGUGUUGAAGUUAACGCAUUAAGUACUCCGCCUGAGUAGUACGUACGCAAGUAUGAAACUUAAAGGAAUUGACGGGACUCCGCACAAGCGGUGGAUCAUGUUGUUUAAUUCGAAGGUACCCGAAAAACCUCACCAGGUCUUGACAUGCUUUUGCAAAGUUGUAGAAAUACAGUGGAGGUUAUCAAUUGCACAGGUGGUGCAUGGUUGUCGUCAGCUCGUGUCGUGAGAUGUUGGGUUAAGUCCCGCAACGAGCGCAACCCUUGUUGUUAAUUGCCAGCAUGUAAUGAUGGGGACUUUAGCAAGACUGCCAGUGAUAAAUUGGAGGAAGGUGGGGACGACGUCAAAUCAUCAUGCCCCUUAUGACCUGGGCUACAAACGUGAUACAAUGGCUGUUACAAAGGGUAGCUAUAGCGUAAGCUUUUGGCGAAUCUCAAAAAAGCAGUCUCAGUUCGGAUUGAAGUCUGCAACUCGACUUCAUGAAGUUGGAAUCGCUAGUAAUCGCGAAUCAGCAUGCCGCGGUGAAUACGUUCACGGGGUUUGUACACACCGCCCGUCA
rnacentral:rRNA from 1 species